GGGGUCGUAGUAUAACCUGGUAAGCUUUUCCGGGUUUAAGUGGAAGGGAAAGUUUGGGGAAUUAGUACAGCAGUCUCCAAAACUGCCUAUGGGGGUUCGAAUCCCUCCGACCCCA
rnacentral:tRNA from 1 species